GGCUUAACCUGGGAAUGGCGUUUUGAACUGGCAGUCUAGAGUGCGUCAGAGGAGGGUGGAAUUCCACGUGUAGCAGUGAAAUGCGUAGAGAUGUGGAGGAACACCGAUGGCGAAGGCAGCCCCCUGGGAUGACACUGACGCUCAUGUACGAAAGCGUGGGUAGCAAACAGGAUUAGAUACCCUGGUAGUCCACGCCCUAAACGAUGUCAACUAGUUGUCGGGGAUUCAUUUCCUUGGUAACGCAGCUAACGCGUGAAGUUGACCGCCUGGGGAGUACGGCCGCAAGGUUAAAACUCAAAGGAAUUGACGGGGACCCGCACAAGCGGUGGAUGAUGUGGAUUAAUUCGAUGCAACGCGAAAAACCUUACCUACGCUUGACAUGCCAGGAACUUUCCAGAGAUGGAUUGGUGCCCGAAAGGGAACCUGGACACAGGUGCUGCAUGGCUGUCGUCAGCUCGUGUCGUGAGAUGUUGGGUUAAGUCCCGCAACGAGCGCAACCCUUAUCCCUAGUUGCUACGCAAGGGCACUCUAGGGAGACUGCCGGUGACAAACCGGAGGAAGGUGGGGAUGACGUCAAGUCCUCAUGGCCCCUAUGUGUAGGGCUUCACACGUCAUACAAUGGUCGGUACAGAGGGUCGCCAACCCGCGAGGGGGAGCCAAUCCCAGAAAACCGAUCGUAGUCCGGAUUGCAGUCUGCAACUCGACUGCAUGAAGUCGGAAUCGCUAGUAAUCGCGGAUCAGCAUGUCGCGGUGAAUACGUUCCCGGGUCUUGUACACACCGCCCGUCACACCAUGGGAGUGGGUUCUACCAGAAGUAGGUAGCCUAACCGCAAGGAGGGCGCUACCACGUGGUC
rnacentral:rRNA from 1 species